rnacentral:tRNA from 2 species
GGAGAAUUGGCCGAGUGGUCGAAGGCGCACGCUUGGAAAGCGUGUAAGGGGCAACCCUUCGAGAGUUCGAAUCUCUUGUUCUCCG